rnacentral:rRNA from 1 species
GCCUUCGGGAACUGUGAGACAGGUGCUGCAUGGCUGUCGUCAGCUCGUGUUGUGAAAUGUUGGGUUAAGUCCCGCAACGAGCGCAACCCUUAUCCUUUGUUGCCAGCGGUUAGGCCGGGAACUCAAAGGAGACUGCCAGUGAUAAACUGGAGGAAGGUGGGGAUGACGUCAAGUCAUCAUGGCCCUUACGCCCAGGGCUACACCCCUGCUACAAUGGCAUAUACAAAGAGAAGCGACCUCGCGAGAGCAAGCGGACCUCAUAAAGUAUGUCGUAGUCCGGAUUGGAGUCUGCAACUCGCUCCA